rnacentral:tRNA from 13 species
AGCCACCAGAGAGGAUUGAACUGACUACCCCCGAUUUACAAGACCAGCGCUCUAACCACUGAGCUAUGGUGGC